GGAUGGAGUCGAAGGGGUCCAAAUGUCAUACAAGAAGGCUAUGGGUCUGCUGCUGUCUUGCCUGAGCAAGGCAUAUAUCUCGCAGCAUCUGCAUACCGGCCUGUCCUUCAGUUCACUGAUAAGAUCGCUUCAAUGCUGCCAAAAAAAUAUUCGCAACUUGGGAAUGAUGGAUUGCUAGCAUUUAUAGAGAACUUUGUUAAGGACCACUUUUUACCAACUAUGUUUGUGGACUACCGGAAGGGUGUUCAGCAAGCUAUAUCAAGUCCAGCUGCAUUUCGCCCUAGGGCACACACUACUGCUGCUUAUACCUCGUCAAUUGAGAAAGGUCGACCUGUCUUGCAGGGACUUUUGGCAAUAGAUUUCUUAGCAAAAGAGGUGUUUGGUUGGGCUCAAGCAAUGCCAAAAUUUUCUAGUGAUCUGGUGAAGUUUGUGCAAACUUUUCUUGAACGAACAUAUGAAAGAUGUCGAACAUCAUACAUGGAGGCAGUUCUGGAGAAGCAGAGUUACAUGCUGAUAGGGAGGCAUGAUAUUGAGAAAUUGAUGCGUCUUGAUCCCGCAAGCUCAUGUUUGCCAAAUCCACUUGGUAAAGCAAAUAUGAACAAUGCCUCAGAUUCUGAAUCUGCCAGUAUCGAAUCUGAACUGAUUGAAUUAUUUUUGAAUUUGCGCCCUAUCAAGCAGGAAAAUCUAAUUCGUGAUGAUAACAAACUAAUUUUGCUAGCAUCCCUUAGUGAUUCAUUGGAGUAUGUAGCAGACUCAAUUGAAAGGCUGACUUUAAGAACGUCAAAUCAAGUGGAAGUGAAUGGCAAGAAUCUGGCAUCAUUUGCAGAUGAUUAUAGAAAACUGGCAAUUGACUGCCUGAAGGUUUUGCGUGUAGAGAUGCAAUUGGAGACUAUUUUCCAUAUGCAGGAAAUGACAAACAGAGAGUACUUGGAGGACCAAGAUGCAGAAGAGCCUGAUGACUUCAUAAUUUCACUCACAGCCCAGAUAACACGUAGGGAUGAGGAAAUGGCACCUUUUGUGGCAGGAGUAAAGCGGAAUUACAUAUUUGGUGGAAUUUGUAGCGUUGCUGCAAAUGCAUCAAUCAAGGCUUUGGCUGACAUGAAAGCCAUUAACCUUUUCGGGGUUCAACAGAUAUGUCGAAAUUCAAUUGCACUGGAACAGGCCCUGGCAGCUAUUCCAUCAAUUGAUAGUGGAGCUGUACAGCAGAAAUUAGAUCAUGUCCGCUCCUAUUAUGAAUUAUUAAAUAUGCCAUUUGAGGCCUUGCUUGCUUUCAUCACAGAGCACGAGCACUUGUUUACAGCCACAGAGUAUGCUAGUCUUCUAAAGGUCCAAGUCCCAGGAAGGGAGAUUCCCCCUGAUGCGCAAGAUCGAGUGGCAGAUAUAUUAUCCCGUUAGCUUUUCUAUUGGUGGAUGAGGAUUGAUUUAUCAUGUAAAGAAUAUAACUUCAUCCAGAAUGUGGUGCCGGCAGAAUUGAUCGAUAAUUAGAUGCAAAAGCCAGCUUAGCUUGUGCCACGUGAAUUUUUGCCGUAUAUAGUAGACGCAAGUAUCUUGCAAUUUCUUCUGUUGUCAUUUGUUGUUAGUAUGCUCGUGUUUCUUUUGGUUUCCGGUGGGGCUUGUCAAUGUUGAUGAGAGAAUGUUAAUGCGAUGUAAGCUUCUUGCUACUCCUUUUAAAUUGUUCAUGACUGGUCUUGCUCUUGACUAUUAAUUUUAAAUUACUCCAGGC
rnacentral:misc_RNA from 1 species